UCCGUAGGUGAACCUGUGGAGGGAUCAUUGCUGGAACGCGCCCCAGGCGCACCCAGAAACCCUUUGUGAACUUAUACCUUACUGUUGCCUCGGCGAAGGCUGGCCCCCCCCGGGGGGCCCCUCACCCUCACGGGUGUUGAGACAGCCCGCCGGCGGCCAAGUUAACUCUUGUUUUUACACUGAAACUCUGAGAAAUAAAACAUAAAUGAAUCAAAACUUUCAACAACGGAUCUCUUGGUUCUGGCAUCGAUGAAGAACGCAGCGAAAUGCGAUAAGUAAUGUGAAUUGCAGAAUUCAGUGAAUCAUCGAAUCUUUGAACGCACAUUGCGCCCUCUGGUAUUCCGGAGGGCAUGCCUGUUCGAGCGUCAUUUCAACCCUCAAGCCUGGCUUGGUGAUGGGGCACUGCUUUUACCUAAAAGCAGGCCCUGAAAUUCAGUGGCGAGCUCGCCAGGACCCCGAGCGCAGUAGUUAAACCCUCGCUCUGGAAGGCCCUGGCGGUGCCCUGCCGUUAAACCCCCAACUUCUGAAAAUUUGACCUCGGAUCAGGUAGGAAUACCCGCUGAACUUAAGCAUAUCAAUAAGCGGAGG
rnacentral:rRNA from 1 species